rnacentral:lncRNA from 1 species
UAAAAGUGAUGGAAAUGAGGAAGAUGAAUAUGGUGAAGGAUGAAGAACUAUGGAUUAUGGAAGAAUGGUAGGAGUUUAUGCUAAAUUUAAUGGAGUUUCAAGUGAUGAAACUUCAUCAACUAGGUUUAUGAGCUUUAGGGGAUGGUGAAGAAUUUUGACAUAAUAAUUUUACUAUGAAUUCAUGGUUGAAGAAUGAUGAAAAAUAAUAGGUAUUUAUAGUUUUUAAAAGUGAGGGGUGAUUAUGAGGAAUGAGGACCCUUGGAUUGUGAUCCAAGUAAGAG